UACCUUAAAACUAGUCCAUCUAAUAAUCACAAAGCUUAAAUAUAAAUAAACCCCAAUGUAAUAACUUUAUAAAUUAAAACAUUCUCCCGCCCAAGUAUGUGAGACAGAAAAGGAAUUAAGGAACAAUAGAUAUAGUACCGUAAGGGAAAGUUGAAAAAGAAAUGAAAAAACUCAGUUAAGUUAUAAAAAGCAGAGAUCAGACCUCGUACCUUUUGCAUCAUGAUUUAGCUAGUAUUAAUUAAGCAAAGAGCCCUUAAGUUUAAAACCCCGAAACCAAGUGAGCUACUCCAAGACAGCCUAUAUAUAGGGCCAACCCGUAUCUGUGGCAAUAGAGUGGGAAGAGCUUCGAGUAGAAGUGACAGACCAACCGAACUUGGUUAUAGCUGGUUGUUAGAGAAAUGAAUAGGAGUUCAGCCUGACUUAAUACUCUUCACAAAUACUUAUGUGUGCAAAGAUAAGAAUAUAGAAGUCAGAGUUAGUCAAAAGAGGUACAGCUCUUUUGACCUAAGAAACAACUUUACAAGGAGGUUAAAAAUCAAUACAAAAGGUAUAAAACCUAGUGGGCUUAAUAGCAGCCACCUAUAAAGAAAGCGUUAAAGCUCAAUCAACAUUAAACCUUAUAUUCCACUAAAUACUUCUUAAACCCCUAAAAAUAUCUAACCUUCCCAUAGAUAUGGGAUAGAUUAUGCUAAUAUGAGUAAUAAGAGAGCAAGCCUCUCUCUUAACAUAAGUGUAAAUCGGAACGAACACACACCGAAAUUUAACGCCCCCAAGCAAAGAGGGUAAUGUAAAACAAACAAAUAACUAGAAAACCCAUCAUAAAUAAGCGUUAAUCCUACACCGGUAUGUCUACCAAGAAAGACUAAAAAAAGAAGAAGGAACUCGGCAAAUGAAACACGCCUCGCCUGUUUACCAAAAACAUCGCCUCUUGCAUAUCCAGUAUAAGAGGUCCCGCCUGCCCUGUGACUAUAGGUUUAACGGCCGCGGUAUUUUGACCGUGCGAAGGUAGCGCAAUCACUUGUCUUUUAAAUGAAGACUUGUAUGAAUGGCACGACGAGGGCUUGACUGUCUCCUUCUUUCAGUCAAUGAAAUUGAUCUAUCCGUGCAGAAGCGGGUAUAUAAACAUAAGACGAGAAGACCCUAUGGAGCUUUUAGAUGAACAAUAAGAUCAUGUCAAAAGCCACAGCUAUGUGAUCGAACCAAAUGAACACUUAUUGAAUAUCUUUGGUUGGGGCGACCACGGGGAAAAAAAUAACCCCCAUGAGGAGUGAGAGUAAGCUCUUAUAUUUAAGAACUACCGUUCCAAAACCCAGAAUAUCUGACCAAAUGAUCCGGUGAGCCGAUCAACGAACCGAGUUACCCUAGGGAUAACAGCGCAAUCCCCUUUUAGAGUCCCUAUCAACAAGGGGGUUUACGACCUCGAUGUUGGAUCAGGACAUCCUAAUGGUGCAGCUGCUAUUAAGGGUUCGUUUGUUCAACGAUUAAAGUCCUACGUGAUCUGAGUUCAGACCGGAGUAAUCCAGGUCAGUUUCUAUCUAUGAUGUGACUUUCUCUAGUACGAAAGGACCGAGAAAGAAGGGCCCAUUCUAAAAGAAAGCCUUAACCUUACCUGUUGAAUUUAUCUAAAAUAGAUAAAAGGACACAUAAUAAAAUCAAAGAUAAAGAUAU
rnacentral:rRNA from 1 species